ACGGAGGGGGCUAGCGUUGUUCGGAAUUACUGGGCGUAAAGCGCACGUAGGCGGCUUCGCAAGUUAGAGGUGAAAGCCCGGAGCUCAGCUCCGGAAUUGCCUUUAAAACUGCAUCGCUAGAAUUGUGGAGAGGUGAGUGGAAUUCCGAGUGUAGAGGUGAAAUGCGUAGAUAUCGAGAGGAACACCUGCGGCGAAGGCGGGUUGCUGGGCUGACACUGACGCUGAACUACGAAAGCUAGGGGAGCGAACGGGA
rnacentral:rRNA from 1 species